AUGAGAAGAUGAUGACGUUAUUUCGGGAAAUCAUGGAAAACUGAGAUGAUCCGCACUACCUCACUUGGUCCCUUUCUGUUCAUUAAGCUGUCACAGAACUGGUUAAAACUGGCAUUUACAUCAGCUAGAACUAUCAAAAUAGAUGCAUCAUUUUCUCCACUGGCUACUCCCAAACAAUUCAAUUGAACAAUUCAUUCAGGCAGCAAAUGUUUCCACCAAUAAAAUAAAAAG